AUUGAACGCUGGCGGCAGGCCUAACACAUGCAAGUCGAGCGAGCGGCGGACGGGUGAGUAAUGUAUGGGGACUGCCCGAUAGAGGGGGCUAACUACUGGAAACGGGGGCUAAUACCGCAUAACAUCGGAUAACCCAUAUGGGAUUAGCUAGUAGGUGGGGUAAAGGCUCACCUAGGCGGCGAUCUCUAGCUGGUCUGAGAGGAUGAUCAGCCACAUUGGGACUAAGACACGGCCCAAACUACUACGGAGGCAGCAUUGGGGAAUAUUGCACAAUGGGCGCAAGCCGGAUGCAGCCAAGCGGCGUGUAUGAAGAAGGCCUUAGGGUUGUAAAGUACUUUCAGCGGAGAGGCGUUACCCGCAGAAGAAGCACCGGCUAACUCCGUGCCAGCCGCCGCGGUAAUAC
rnacentral:rRNA from 1 species